AGUGAACGCUGGCGGCGUGCCUAAUACAUGCAAGUCGAACGGAGUGGCGCACGGGUGAGUAAUAUAUAGCUACUCUGUCCCUUGCUGGAGGUCAACAGUUAGAAAUGACUGCUAAUACUCCAUAGAAAGGGAUGUGACCAUACCGUAUCAGCUAGUCGGUGGGGUAACGGCCUACCGUGGCUAUGACGCGUAACUGGGCUGAGAGGAAGAUCACGAGCAGGGGAAGUGGGACACGGUUCGAGAGCCGACGGGAGGCAGCAGGAGGGAAGAGUGCGAAAUGGGGGUGACGGUGGCGGGGCAACGGAGCGUGAAGGAUGACAAUUUUCGGAGCGUAAACUCGUUUUAUUAGGGAAGCGGUACCUAACGAAUAAGCACCGGCUAACUCCGUGCCAGCAGCCGCGGUAAUAC
rnacentral:rRNA from 1 species